GAUGAAGAACGCAGCGAAAUGCGAUAAGUAGUGUGAAUUGCAGAAUUCAGUGAAUCAUCGAAUCUUUGAACGCACAUUGCGCCCCUUGGUAUUCCAUGGGGCAUGCCUGUUCGAGCGUCAUUUGUACCUUCAAGCUUUGCUUGGUGUUGGGUGUUUGUCUCGCCUUUGCGUGUAGACUCGCCUUAAAACAAUUGGCAGCCGGCGUAUUGAUUUCGGAGCGCAGUACAUCUCGCGCUUUGCACUCAUAACGACGACGUCCAAAAGUACAUUUUUACACUCUUGACCUCGGAUCAGGUAGGGAUACCCGCUGAACUUAAGCAUAUCAAUAAGCGGAGGA
rnacentral:misc_RNA from 1 species